UACGUAGGGUCCGAGCGUUGUCCGGAAUUAUUGGGCGUAAAGGGCUCGUAGGCGGUUUGUCACGUCGGGCGUGAAAACUCAGGGCUCAACCCUGAGCGUGCGUUCGAUACGGGCAGACUAGAGGUAUGCAGGGGAGAACGGAAUUCCUGGUGUAGCGGUGGAAUGCGCAGAUAUCAGGAGGAACACCGGUGGCGAAGGCGGUCUCUGGGCAUUACCUGACGCUGAGGAGCGAAAGCAUGGGGAGCGAACAGG
rnacentral:rRNA from 1 species